UUAAGUUCAGCGGGUAGUCCUACCUGAUUUGAGGUCAAAAUUGUCAUAAUUUGCUUUGUCCAAGUCAAUGGACUGCUAGCAGCAGCGAACAGCGCGACAUCCAAUGGCGUAGAUAGUUAUCACACCAAUGGCCAUCAAGGUCACCGCUAAUGCAUUUCAGGGGAGCUGACUCUGUGAAAGAGCCUGCAGAAAUCCCCCCA
rnacentral:misc_RNA from 1 species